UACGUAGGGGGCAAGCGUUGUCCGGAUUUAUUGGGCGUAAAGAGCGUGUAGGCGGCCUUACAGGUCAGCUGUGAAAACUCGAGGCUCAACCUCGAGACGUCGAUGGAAACCGUAUGGCUAGAGUCCGGAAGAGGCGAGUGGAAUUCCCGGUGUAGCGGUGAAAUGCGCAGAUAUCAGGAGGAACACCGAUGGCGAAGGCAGGUCUCUGGGCCACUACUGACGCUGAGGAGCGAAAGCGUGGGGAGCAAACAGG
rnacentral:rRNA from 1 species